GGGCCGGUGGUCUAGGGGUAUGAUACCUCCUUGACGUGGAGGGGAUCAGGAGUUCAAAUCUCCUUCGGCCCA
rnacentral:tRNA from 1 species